rnacentral:rRNA from 1 species
UGCCAGCAGCCGCGGUAAUACGGAGGGGGUUAGCGUUGUUCGGAAUCACUGGGCAUAAAGAGCACGUAGGCGGACUAGUAAGUCGGGUGUGAAAUCCCUCGGCCCAACCGAGGAACUGCGCCCGAAACUACCAGUCUUGAGGACAGAAGGGGAGCGUGGAAUUCCUGGUGGAGCGGUGAAAUGCGUUGAUAUCAGGAGGAACACCGGCGGCGAAGGCGACGCUCUGGUCUGUUUCUGACGCUGAGGUGCGAAAGCCAGGGGAGCAAACGGGAUUAGAUA